UGACCGGGGCGAAGUCGUAACAAGGUAGCCGUAGGGGAACCUGCGGCUGGAUCACCUCCUUU
rnacentral:rRNA from 1 species